CCCUUUCGCGGGCAAGCCUCGCUCCUACAGGUUACUCGAUAGCCUGUAGGAGCGAGGCUUGCCCGCGAACAGC
rnacentral:misc_RNA from 1 species